AAAAGCAUGGGAAUACUUUAAAUGUAGUCCAAAACGCAAAGGCAUUGUUAUUUGCAGUCUUUGCCAAAUGGAGUUGGCAUACCACACUAGCACAACAGCGAUGUUGGAGCAUUUAAAGCGGAGGCACCCCCUUGUCUCUCGUGGAGGGAAAAAUUAUAAGACAAAGCAAAGAACCACCUUGCUAUCUUGGGAAAGAGGCGCAAUGCACUCCACAGAAGGCAGCCGAACUCAGCAAAAUAAUCUUGAGAGUGAUCGUCAAAGACAUGAGGCCUUUGCCAUAGCUGGCAAAUAAAAGCUGACAGAAUAGUAGUUAAGAGAGUCAGUUUCAUUGUGCAUCAGGUUCUGUGUUGGGACUGUUAUAUUGUGUUAAACACUCAGGAAUUUCUGUACUGUGCACGGCACAGUGUUUGUUUUUGCACUAUAUUUAGAUACUAGAUACUAGAUUUUUUUGUUGGACAGUAAGAGUA